UCCAUCGAGAACCCCUUUGCAUGAUCGGCAUCACGCUCUGUUGCUCUGACGCCAUUUAUAGACCUGACAGCUGAAGACAGGAUGAAUGACAGCUGUCAUUUAGAAGUCAUCCUCAUCACAAUCAUGACUUUGAUGUCAGUCCUCGUCUGGACUCUGAUCUGCUGCUGCUUCACAGUGUCCCGAGGUCAGCUCACAGUCACUCAGCCUGGAAGCGUGACAUCUGCUGUUGGAGCCUCCACCAGCAUCAGGUGCAGGACCAGUCACAUGGUCUUAAAUUCUAAUUCUUUAGAGUGGUACCAACAGAAAGACGGACAACCUCCGAAACUUCUUAUUUACUACGGAAAGAACCGAGCAACAGGUGUUCCAGGUCGUUUUAGUGGCAGUGGAUCAGACUCUGACUUCACUUUGACCAUCAGUGGAGUCCAGAAUGAAGACGCUGCAGUUUACUACUGUAAAGGUCGACGUUACUUCGACUCUCUGUAUGUGAUCACACGGUGAAAAAGCAACGUACAAAAACCUCCCUCAGUACUGAAACUAAACUGAACUCACAGAUGGACACGGUUCACUGAGGACACAC